CUAUCAUUAACUGAAUCCAUAGGUUAAUGAGGCGAACCGGGGGAACUGAAACAUCUAAGUACCCCGAGGAAAAGAAAUCAACCGAGAUUCCCCCAGUAGCGGCGAGCGAACGGGGAGGAGCCCAGAGCCUGAAUCAGCAUGUGUGUUAGUGGAAGCGUCUGGAAAGGCGCGCGAUACAGGGUGACAGCCCCGUACACAAAAGCGCAUGUGCUGUGAGCUCGAUGAGUAGGGCGGGACACGUGGUAUCCUGUCUGAAUAUGGGGGGACCAUCCUCCAAGGCUAAAUACUCCUGACUGACCGAUAGUGAACCAGUACCGUGAGGGAAAGGCGAAAAGAACCCCGGCGAGGGGAGUGAAAAAGAACCUGAAACCGUGUACGUACAAGCAGUGGGAGCACAGGUUUACCUGUGUGACUGCGUACCUUUUGUAUAAUGGGUCAGCGACUUAUAUUCUGUAGCAAGGUUAACCGAAUAGGGGAGCCGGAGGGAAACCGAGUCUUAAUUGGGCGUUAAGUUGCAGGGUAUAGACCCGAAACCCGGUGAUCUAGCCAUGGGCAGGUUGAAGGUUGGGUAACACUAACUGGAGGACCGAACCGACUAAUGUUGAAAAAUUAGCGGAUGACCUGUGGCUGGGGGUGAAAGGCCAAUCAAACCGGGAGAUAGCUGGUUCUCCCCGAAAGCUAUUUAGGUAGCGCCUCGUGAAUUCAUCUCCGGGGGUAGAGCACUGUUUCGGCUAGGGGGCCAUCCCGGCUUACCAACCCGAUGCAAACUGCGAAUACCGGAGAAUGUUAUCACGGGAGACACACGGCGGGUGCUAACGUCCGUCGUGAAGAGGGAAACAACCCAGACCGCCAGCUAAGGUCCCAAAGUCAUGGUUAAGUGGGAAACGAUGUGGGAAGGCCCAGACAGCCAGGAUGUUGGCUUAGAAGCAGCCAUCAUUUAAAGAAAGCGUAAUAGCUCACUGGUCGAGUCGGCCUGCGCGGAAGAUGUAACGGGGCUAAACCAUGCACCGAAGCUGCGGCAGCGACACUGUGUGUUGUUGGGUAGGGGAGCGUUCUGUAAGCCUGCGAAGGUGGCCUGUGAGGG
rnacentral:rRNA from 1 species